UUCCCUUUAACAAACAUUCUAGGGGGGAAGUACCUUUUCAUUGCUUGUAUACGUUCAACUAGAGUAGAACUUUGACCUUCUGUGUAAACUUUCACUUUCGGUUUUAGCAAGUUCCCCCGCAUAUGUGCAACCAAUCAGAGCGGAGGAAGACAUCGGUCGCCCACCCGAAUAAAAGCAAAAAGACAGCAGCUCCGCAUUUGAGCAAAACGACGAGAAGAGAAAACAAGACGAAGACGACAUGGGAGCAGAUCCCCAACAAUGACUCCACAGACGUGGUGACUCGCAGUAACAUUAUGAGUAACUUUGGAAUGAAAAUGGCAGUUUAUCUGUUGCAGCCAGCGCUAUGCUCCAUCCAUCCCCUGCCAGGACCACGAUUGGUUAUGAUGUGAACCCGAACCUCAACCUGAUCACUUCUAUCCAGCCUGCAGCACCACCACCAGCACCACCAGCAGCAGCAAUUUCCAGCCCUGCUGCCGCACCCACUGCUGGCCGUGUGAUGUCACUGUUCUGAGUCCUCAAAAUGGAUCCUUCUAAACCUUGUCCGCCAUUUCAAAUGGCCUGUAAUCAUUACAAGGAAUGCAAUUUUUUUCUCAACUCAAUUGGAAUUGUGUUGCUGAAGAAAAUGUAAAAUGUGUAAUUCUUGUGUGAACAUCCACAAGUAAAGAACAAGACUCCUA